UAACGGUGCCUGGUCCUUCUUAGGAGUACGUGGUUGUUUUGUCCAUAUAAGGGUUUGCUUCCGGAAAGGGGUGAAAGAGCUUUCUUUUCCGUUUUUUGCAUCGAAGAAGAAGAGAAGGGUAUGGAUGUGACCUUCAACUUCGAGGCUUCAACUCCACAGAGGCAGGCCAUUGAUGAGACUUAUUUUGAGUUUGUGCGUGAAUCUAACCCAUUGUUACGAGAUUUAUGAUUCUCGAUGAACAACGAUUGUGUUAGAUUCACGCACAAACUCGCCAUAUGUCUCCUCUGCAAUUUGUAUUUCCGGUUUGGGUUUUUCUCUCAUCAUUAUCUGUGUUUUUUCCCAAAUCCCUAUAUAAUUCUGCAUUUUUCCCCCUGUUUAAGCUUUUUUAUAUGUAUAUAUAUAUCUCUGUUAGAUAUUCAAAAUCAGUACUUUAGAUCAGGAAAGAGGAAGAAGAGGGCAAGGGCAAUGGUGUCUGCUUCGGAAGUGGGCUAGGGCUAGGGCUUUUGAGUGAAGAUUUCCAUUUGUUCGUUGCGAUGACCCACGGUGGAGAUUUUGAAGCGGGCAUGGCGGAAAUUUUUCAGUUUCAGCGAUAGUUUGAUUUCUGUUUUUUCAAUUAUUAUUAAUUAUGCCGCAUGUGGGUUGGCGAUGAUAAGAGUGCAUUCACUUGCUCGGAUUCUAUCUAAUGUAUUGCAGAUUGAAAAAUACUUCAUCAAGAUUCCAUAACUGAAUUGUAGAACUGAUUUUCUGAACAAGAGCAGAAGUUCGUUAAAGCCCCGGGGCCUUAGUUGGGGAAGAACUUUGGAUUCUGAAAAGCAAGUUAUCUGUUUGAGAGCUUCCUAGCUUGAUGACAGGUUGUCUGUUAUGAUCUUUAUACAGAAAAAUAUAUUCUUAACAGGAUAUGCUUUUCUGUAUACCAAAAAAAUAUAUUCAUUCUUACAGGUUGUGCUUUUCUAGCCAAUUUGAAGAGUGGGCUGAUUGACUUUUUUGUAAGCGUUUGGCAUGUCGUGGGUGAAGGCAUUGGUGUGUAACACGUCCUUUGGAGAAUCAACCUCAGGUGAAGAACCCAGGAAGGGGCAACUGAUGAUGGCCCUUUAUUUUGUGCUCCUAGAAGUAUCUUUUGGCUCUAGUGCCAAGCCUGUUCUCAAGGAUAUUAUGUAUGAUGUGUUAUCAUUCUAGUGUAUCUUACCAGAAAAAGUUAUCAUUCUAGUGUAUUUUUUUGGGUAACACAUGAUGCUUCAAUGUUCCAGAACAGAACAUCUACUAGUGUUCAAAGUUUGGUAUGGUGUAGAUGACACUUUAUUCUCUCC